rnacentral:rRNA from 1 species
ACGAACGCUGGCGGCGUGCUUAACACAUGCAAGUCGAACGGAAAGGCCCUGCUUUUGUGGGGUGCUCGAGUGGCGAACGGGUGAGUAACACGUGAGUAACCUGCCCUUGACUUUGGGAUAACUUCAGGAAACUGGGGCUAAUACCGGAUAGGAGUUCCUGCUGCAUGGUGGGGGUUGGAAAGUUUCGGCGGUUGGGGAUGGACUCGCGGCUUAUCAGCUUGUUGGUGGGGUAGUGGCUUACCAAGGCUUUGACGGGUAGCCGGCCUGAGAGGGUGACCGGCCACAUUGGGACUGAGAUACGGCCCAGACUCCUACGGGAGGCAGCAGUGGGGAAUAUUGCACAAUGGGCGGAAGCCUGAUGCAGCAACGCCGCGUGCGGGUUGACGGCCUUCGGGUUGUAAACCGCUUUCGCCUGUGACGAAGCGUGAGUGACGGUAAUGGGUAAAGAAGCACCGGCUAACUACGUG